AUUGAACGCUGGCGGAAUGCUUUACACAUGCAAGUCGAACGGUAGAGGGGGCAACCCCUCGAGAGUGGCGAACGGGUGAGUAAUAUAUCGGAACGUGCCCAGUCGUGGGGGUUAACGUAGCGAAAGUUACGCUAAUACCUCAUACGAGCUAAGGAUGAAAGCGGGAGAUCGCAAGACCUCGCGCGAUUGGAGCGGCCGAUAUCAGAUUAGGUAGUUGGUUGGGUAAAGGCUCACCAAGCCAACGAUCUGUAGCUGGUCUGAGAGGACGACCAGCCACACUGGAACUGAGACACGGUCCAGACUCCUACGGGAGGCAGCAGUGGGGAAUUUUGGACAAUGGACGCAAGUCUGAUCCAGCCAUUCCGCGUGCAGGAUGAAGGCCCUCGGGUUGUAAACUGCUUUUGUACGGAACGAAAAGGUCUCUCUUAAUACGGGGGACUCAUGACGGUACCGUAAGAAUAAGCACCGGCUAACUACGUGCCAGCAGCCGCGGUAA
rnacentral:rRNA from 1 species